rnacentral:rRNA from 1 species
GAUCCUGGCUCAGGAUGAACGCUGGCGGCGUGCCUAACACAUGCAAGUCGAACGAAGCUUGACGGAUGAUUUCUUCGGAAUGAAACCAGAUAUGACUUAGUGGCGGACGGGUGAGUAACACGUGAGCAACCUGCCUUUCAGAGGGGGAUAACGGCUGGAAACGGUCGCUAAUACCGCAUGACGUGUUCGGAUGGCAUCAUCUGAACAUCAAAGAUUUAUCGCUGAAAAGAUGGGG